rnacentral:rRNA from 1 species
UACGUAGGCAGCAAGCGUUGUUCGGAGUUAUUGGGCGUAAAGGGCUCGUAGGCGGUUUGUCGCGUCGGGAGUGAAAACCAGGUGCUUAACACCUGGCCUGCUUUCGAUACGGGCAGACUAGAGGCAUUCAGGGGAGAACGGAAUUCCUGGUGUAGCGGUGAAAUGCGCAGAUAUCAGGAGGAACACCGGUGGCGAAGGCGGUUCUCUGGGAAUGUCCUGACGCUGAGGAGCGAAAGUGUGGGGAGCGAACAGG